GGGGGUGUAGCUCAACUGGUUAGAGCAUUAGACUCGAAGUCUAACGUUGGUGGUUCGAGUCCACCCACCCCUA
rnacentral:tRNA from 1 species